rnacentral:pre_miRNA from 1 species
AAUAAAUCAAUUUUUUAUUUUUUAUCUAUAAUUUUUGACUCUUCGUCUUAUUUUAAAAUUUUUUGUGAUUAAUUUUUUUGUUUUUAUUAGAUGAUAAAUUAUAAAUAGUACUUUACGUGUGACUAAUUUUUUUCUAAAUUUUCUAAAACUUUUUCAAAUAAGACGGAUAAUCAAACAUUCGAUACGGAAACCGGAG